UGUCCUUUUUGAGAUAUGGUGACAUCAUGUUCAAAACCAGAAUGGAAUUGAGACCUCUUCUGUAAAGACAAAGAAGGAACAGGACUGCCCAGUCCACCACCAAAGGCUGAACAUGCACCUGCUGUACAGUUGGCCCAUGAAUAUCUUCUAAUCAGGGAGGACAGGUCCAUCAAUGGCUACCUGCCAUGACACAGAGGGUUCAAGACAUCAGGGAAAGAAGCAGGAAGAUAAGUGGACUUGAUUCAGGGGCGUUGUCUCUAAAGAGGAGAUUCUUCUGCCAAAUAAACAGGCUCCCUGGUGCCUGCUGUUUUGUGGACUGCCGCUACUGUUAGUUGAUGGGCAGUUAUUGAAGGAA